rnacentral:lncRNA from 1 species
ACUCAAUUGCAUCUACCAACUGGCAGACAGACCAACUGAGAGAGUCCGUCCGUUCAGUAGCUGGAUUCGCCAUGGGUGUGCCCCAGGAGUGUUAGCAAGGCUAUUUCUCCGGAUCAGAAUAGUCCACAGACAGCAACUCUCUGAGGGAAGGCUCCACAACUGAACUAGUAAGACGUGCCUCUGCUUAAAAUAAUCAUAAGGAAUUUCUCCCUUCUCUUCUAUGGGUCUUAACCUUCUAAUUAGCCACCUCUUUAUCCUCUGAGAAUAUCUCAAGUCCAUGUCUGAUAAGCCACUUCUCAGCAGGGAGAGAACUGCAUCUUAAAAUGGAUUUGAUACUUCUUAGUAAACUGACAAAUCAGCCGAGGGGUGAGUCAAAUGAAAAUUUUAGGACUAUCGCCCUGCAAAAAAGGUGAUGAUUGCUAUAGGUUGGGAGAGUUAUAAUCUGUCAGAAUCUUCUGUUGCAAGGAACAGCUUAGCCACACAGCAGUGCUCCAUGGCGGCUGCCGUCAAGAAUCUAAACACGGCUUGGAAUUCUCUGAGGAUGUUAUUCAUAAAGGCACAGUUAAUCAAACUCAGACCUCUCUUCAGAAUCUCACUGUACAAGCCAAACUUAUUGCCAAUAGAAGGAAGGUGCCAGACCAGAGAAGGGAGAUCUCUACAUAUGAAAGGUGAAGUAACUUGAUUUCAGUUGUUUUGGAACUAACUUGGAGUGGUGAGAAACUACAGCAUUGUCGUGUUCUCACUAUCAGAGGUGAUUUUCUUCUAUCAAAUGCUGCUGAGUUGAGGUCAAUGCUUGAUCUGAGGACCAACGAUACAAUCUCACUUUAUUUUCAGCUGGUGCACUUUCAUUCCUUCAACACACCUCCAGCCUGGUGGAUAUCACUACUGAACUGGGAGAAAGGAUGGCUAGGUCCGGGCAUGAAUCUAAAAAUGCAAGAAAAUCUUCAACAGGUUAGAUGCAUCUUCAGCAGGUGUUGAAACCUAAAUCUCCAUUGGGACAGAAUAGUCAGCUAUGGGAGCUGUGGCUUAUGGUGCAAACAUCGCCAAGUCCAAGAACCACACCACACACAACCAGUCCUGAAAAUGGCACAGAAAUGGCAUCAAGAAACUCCAAUCACAAAGGAACCCCAAUCACUAAUCUCUAAAGGGAGUGGACCCCAAGUUCCUGAGGAGCAUACACUUUGCCAAGAAGCACAAGAAAGGCCUAAAGAAGAUGCAGGCUAACAAUGCCAAGGCCAUGAGUGCACGUGCUGAGGCUAUCAAGGCCCUUGUAAAGCCCUUGAGGUUAAGCCCAAGAUCCCAAAGGGUGUCAGCUGCAAGCUCGAUCAACUUGCCUACACUGCCCACCCCAAGCUUGGGAAGCGUGCUCAUGCCCGCAUUGCCAAGGGGCUCAGGCUGUGCAAGCCAAAGGCCAAGGAUCAAACCAAGGCCCAGGCUGCAACUCCAGCUUCAGUUCCAGUUCAGGCUUCUAAAGGUGCCCAGGGCCCUACAAAGGCUUCAGAGUAGAGAUCUCCAUCUGUCAACGUGAGGACAGAAGGACUGGUGCGACCCCCCUGGGCUGCCGUCUGCAUGGGGCUGGUGUCUUCCUGUGCUAUUUGUACAAAUAAACCUGAAGCAGGAAAAAAAAAAAAAAAGAAAACAAGAAUAGUCAGCUACAUCUUUAUAACCUUGUGAGGUGGCAGUAAAGAGCGUAAUGGCAGAACUGUCAAUGAUAGUGAAGCUUAUCCCAUGCUCAGUCACCACCUCCUUGACCAUCUCCGGCUCCACAGAAGCCUUUGAAGAUGUGGCAGAACCACACCAAGGAAGAGAGGGGGAAUCUAUGUAUCUCAGAUGAGUGGUAAUAGUGAUGCCUCAGAAACAAAUAUGAACUAAAUUGCAUAAGGAAGUGAUUCUUAAUGGGGAGAGAAAUCUGGCCUUUAAGUUAUUUAUGGAAAAGCCACAACUAUCGUAAUAAUACAAUCAUCUAUUUCCUUGAACAUCAUAGGAGCCAUUUCAUUACAUUGGCAUAGGUUUUAUAAACAAACAUAGAUACUAACCAUCAGCCAAGUAAGAGAUGCUCAGUGAUUCUUUCAUCAAAACAUAUUGCGGAGUUGCUUCCUUUUCCUAAUUUGUUUCUAUGAAUAAUCUGUGGAGUUGUGCAACAUGCACAUGACACAUGGAAAUCAGAGUUAUGGCUUUUAUGUAGACCACAUUGUUUUUUUGCCUGUAAAUUGCCUCCAAAUGGCUUGAAAGAAAUACUGCUUUAUAGUUUAAGUCAACCAAGAAGGGCUACCUGAAAGCAUUUACACCUAAUAUUCAGUAGAGCCUACUUCAGUGAUCCUCCAUCGCGCCAUGGAAACAGGCUCUAUCCGUUAGGGUUUCUGCCUAAGGAACACUCCCACUCAGGUAUAAGACAGUUUAGAAGUCUUGUGCUGAAAAGGUACAGGAAGAAAAUACAAAAGCCAACUGAUUGGAAGAAAUCUGCAGCAUCCUAAAAGUCAUUGUAAUUAAAACACAGAAGUUUGUAAUUAUUCUGAAGGAAAACAACAUACUAAGAAAGGCACAAAAAUAUGAAUGUGGUUUCCCAAGGCCUUGCUACAUUAAUCCAAAUUGACUUGGGCAGAUAUGAAAUCCUCAGAUGGGCUGAAAACUAGUUGGAAGGCUUAAAACAAAAGAAAAUGCAAUAUAAUUAGGUGGAAAGAGCAGCCGAUUUGGAGUCACUGGAAUAUGGUUAGUUCUGCCAUUGACUAACUGACUGACCUUUGGCAAUUCAUGGAACUUCUCUGUGACUCAAAUUUUAAACUGGAAAACAGGAUAUUAUUACUUAACCUUGGGUUAAAAGAAUGUGUGCAAAGGCUAUUUUGUUUUCAAAGGCUAUUCCCUUCCACGCCUCUUUCCUUAUCUCUGCACGGUGACAGACAACCCCCACCUCACUUCUCCACCAGGAACCUGCUUCAUUUUCCUUUUUAUAUUCAAAUUAUUCCUUAUCAUAGGCUUCCUAGUUCACAAAUUUUGUUUUUUAUGUUUCCUAAAGCCAGCAUUGAAUAUUGUAUUUUAUUUAUUUUUAAACUAUAGACAUUUUAUUUGGAUAACUUUUCCUAUAAAAUCAUAUUUUUUCUCAUCUUUAGUUUUAAAUAGUUUUUAAUUUUUUAGUUUUUGAUUUUUUUACUUUUUUACAUAUAUAUUUUUAUUUUUAAGUUUUGUAUUUUUAAUUAUUAUGGGUACAGAAUAGAUGUGUAUAUUUGUGGGUUACAUGUGAUGUUUUGAUAUAGACACACCAUGUGUAACAAUCACAUCCGGGUAAUUGGGGUAUGCAUCACCUCAAGCAUUUAUCAUUUGUGGUAGGAACAUUCUAAUUCCACUCUUUUAGUUAUUUUAAAAUAUACAAUAAAUUAUUAUUGACUGUAGUCAUCCUGUUUUUAAUCUUAUUUUUAAUUGAUCAGAACUAUAUAUGGGGUUCAAUGCUAUAUUUUCAUACAUGCUUACGUUGUGGAAUGACUAAAUCAAGCUAAUUACUGAAUCCAUCAUUUCACAUACUUAUCAUUUUUUGUAAUGAAAACAUUAAAUCCUACUCCUUUAGUAAUUUUGAAAUAUACAGUGCCUAUUAUUUAUCACAGUCACUAUUCUGUGCAAUAGAUCACUAAAGCUUAUGCCUCCUCUCUAAUUGAAAUUUUAUACCUUUUGAUCAACAUCUUCCUCAUCCACUCCUCUUCCCAGCCUCUGGUAACCACCAUUCUACUCUCUACUUCUUCAACAUCAUAUUUUAAAAUUAAUCCACUAGUAUAUUUAUGUUGAGUGUCUCUUCAAAUUACACUUCAAACUAAGAAAAAAUUUUCUUAUUACCCUUUUCUCUUCAGUUACCAUUGCACCUUCUUGGCUCCUACUAUUAGCUAAAGUUAAUUCACUGUUCAGAUUCUUGACAUACAUGAAGUGGUCAAACUUAAAGGGACUUGUUGAAGUACACUUUCAAUGAAGUCAGUCACAUCUGUGGUGACUUAGAGAUAUUUCUUUAGUUGUCUGGGAAUAAUGUUUAUGUGUUUAGAAUCAUCUGGAAAAUAAAUUAAAAUAAAAAUUUCUGAAGCUUCUUUAGGAGAUUCUGAUUCGAAAAGUUUAGGCAGAGAACCAGGAAUCUGCAUGUUUAAUAAUCACCCAAGCAAGUAAUUCUGAUGCAGGUAAUCCAUAGUCUACACUUCCAGAAACUCUGUUAGAGGUUAUUUAGCAAUUCCAAAGGGAAUCUGGAGUUUUGAAAUGUUGUGUUUAAAAAGAAGUACUUUAGAGAGGGGAAUAUUAGUAAAAUGAUUUUUUUUUUUUUCUUUAGACAGAGUUUCACUCUUGUGCCCAAGCCAGAGUGCAAUGGUGCGAUCUUGGCUCACUGCAACCUUCACCUCCCUCCCGGGUUCAAGUGAUUCUCCUGCCUUAGCCUCCUGAAUAGCUGGGAUUACAGGCGCACGCCACCACACUCAGCUAAUAUUUUGUAUUUUUAGUAGAAACGGGGUUUCACCAUGUUAGUCAGGCUGGUCUCGAACUCCUGACCUCACGUGAUCCACCCACCUCGGCCUCCUAAAGUGCUGGGAUUACAGGCGUGAGCCACCGUGCCCAGCCAAAUGAUUUUUUUAUAUUAAAAACUGUGAUACUAAAAAAUGUGAUGGAAGCAAGGACUUGAGUUGGGAUGGUAGUUUGUUCACUCGAUAUCUGUGUGCCUCAGGGAAGUUAAUUAGUCUUACUUUCCUAAUACAUACCAUAAUAACACCAUUAGCCACUGAAGGAGGUGUGUAGGGAUGAAUGAGAUAAUACAGGUUAAAAACAACAAAACCUUUAGCAUGAAAAAUAGAAUAGAAACAUUAAUAAUGACCCUUUUAUUACUGACAAUUUUAAAAACUGGAUUAUCAAACUAAAUGAAGAAAAGCUAAGCCCAGAUGUCACACAUGCCUUUUCCAUAAAUUAGUGUUUUCAUUUAUCUGAAGUAUGAAGGACGGGCUUGUCAACACUCAGUAGCAUACCCAGGCCAGAGGCAAGCUAAGGUGCUAAGUAAGGUGUGGCUGAAAAGCAGUUAUUUGGCUUUAAUUCAAUAAGACGUGCAUUUGAUUUAGCAAAAAACACUGCUACUAAGUGUAAAUAUAACGUAAUAGCAAAACUAUUUUUUCUUGCACCAAUUUCUUUCAAACAACUCUGAAAAAAAGAAAAAAAAUACCAGUUACAAACUGGCUGGAAAUGAGUUAUGUGAUUUCCCUAUUAUCUGGAAACGAUAUUUUAUUCUGUGCAAGAUGUUGUAGGUAGGUUACAAUUACACUGAUUAUAAAUUUAUUAUGUCUGGAUUUUGGAAUUUAUCAAAAGACAAACUGAGGUAUGUAGCACCUUGUAUCUUUCUCUCUCCCCUACCCCUUCAAAUGUAUAUACUCACGUAUGUUUAUAACAUUCAUACAGACUGAAUGUAUAACAAUAUAACAUACACUCUUAAUGUAUGUGUGUGUAUACGUGUGCACACCAUUUUCAAAUUAAGAAAUUUUUAAAAAAGGGAAAAAGUUUUCAGUAAAAUUUCCCAACAGAAAAUGAUUCAACAUAACCUUGGAAAAUACUUUUAUAUUAACCCCAAGGCAAAGGAUUGUAUCCUGAUCAUCUUUGCAUCCCAGGUGAUCUUGUGUAGUGCAUAUAAACAUUAGAUUGAAAAAAUAAUCAUUGUUGUUGAGGUUGAUGUGAUCUUUGGAACAACAAGAUUUAGGUGGGUCUCUAGAGAUUCUGAAGGAAUGGUAAUGUAAAGAGGCCAGAUGUUCUCCUGAGGUUUGCUUUAUCUUUUGUAGUUAUAAGACAGAUCAGGUUAUGCUAUAAUAAUAGAAAACUCCCAGUUCUCGGUGACUUACCCCAAAAAGGGUUGAUUUUUCAAUUAUAACCAUUUGUAGAUAUAGGAGACCCUCUAAGGUAACUGUACUUCAUGUGGUAACUCAGUGAUGCUGUUUUGAUCUUGUGUCUCCACAAUCUCAACAAAAGGCCUCUUCCACUGUCACCCAGAGGGAGAGCUCUGGGUUGGAGGGUCUGGCAGCAGUAAAUAAAUGGUUUGGCUUGGCAUGAUACACAUCACUCUGCCUGCAGCCCCACAGUGCUCGUGGCAUUGCUCCACCUACCUGCCAUGGAGUAGGGAAAUAGGAUCAAUCUAUCCUUCUGUCCCAGAAGCAGAGAUCUCAUAAUGUUAUGAAAUUCAUAACAGUAUCAUAAGCCUUUAAGGUGGAGAAAUCAUAAAAAAUGAAUUGUUGAAGAAACUCCUUAGUAAUAAUAAGUAACAUCAGAUCUUAGAUGCUGAUUACAGAGGGGAACUCUGAGUUUGAAAACAUUUUAUUUAACCUAACCAAAGCUUACGUUAAAAUCAAGGGGAACUUAUUUUAAAACAACUUUUAAAUGCCAUGUAUCUAGUAUUUUAAUGCAAUCUAUCUUUCCUUUGUCAAUUAUAGCUCAAUAAAGAAUUCUAAAUAAUUACAGAAACUGUGAUGAUGGCAUGUUCAAUGGAAAGCUGAUUAGAAUGUAUUGUUCUGAGCCAAAUAUUCAUUUUAUUGCUAAAUAUAUCAUAUUCAACAAAUGGGAGUUUGACAAAAAGCAAAUUUUCCUUCCUUGGACCAUUUACACUUUUUUCUUGGAAUUCUUAGAAAAAUAUUAUAAUGUAAUGUAAUUAUAAUGUAAACUCAUGUAGGCAAAGCUUUGGUUUCUGGUCAUAGCAAAAUAUCUAUAAAAGAGUGAUAUGGUUUGGUUGUGUCCCCACUCAAAUCUCAUCUUGAAUUGUAGCUCCCAUAAUUCCCACAUGUUGUGGGAGGGACCCUGUGGGAAGUCUUUCCUGUGCUGUUCUUGCGAUAGUGAAUAAAUAAAUCUCUUGAGAUCUGAUGGGUUUAUAAAGGGGAGUUCCCCUGCACACACUCUACUGCCCACUGCCAUGUGAGAAGUCCCGUUGCUCUUCCUUUGUCUUCUGCCAUCAUUGUGAGGCCUCCCCAGGCGUGUGGAACUGUGAGUCUACUAAACCUUUUUCUUUAUAAAUUACUCAGUCUUCGGGUAUGAAGGUUACAAGAAUUGAGUUGAUUUUCUGAAACUUCUUUAGAAUAGCUUUUAUUUCUGGGACUUUUCAACACCAGAUUCCAGAUAGAUUAAAAAACUGAUCAAUCUCAAACCUGAUAUAUAAAGUUGACACAAACAAUUUAGAACUAAAUUGUUAACAUUUAUUUACCAUAUUUAGUUUCCUCUUCAGUCAUAAAGGUAUGAUUAAACUUAUUGGCUCAGCCAUUGGAAUUGGCUAGAGAUCCUUGAAGAAGAAAAAAUUUUAUGAAUUUAAAAGAAACAGAAGCCAAGCUUAAUUUUAACCUUUCUUCACAGUCUUUAAUCAUAUCAUCAAUCUUCUUGUUUGGAUGUCAUUUAGGAUAGGGUGAAAUACCAUCUGCUAUGGAAAAGCUCAAACGCAGUAUUUUCUGGAUGUACUGGACUAGGUAAAGUCUGCAAUUCCCCUCCAGACCUAGGAUUUGAUGUGUAGACAGAACGUGCAAUUUUGCAAUCUGCUGAGCCAGAAGAGGAUUUAAUAUUACAUCCAGAACUGUACUCAAAUUGUCAAAAAAUGUUCAAUAAAAUAACUGUAAAUCAUACUCAGUUAAACUAGCUGGCAAAGGUAGCAUGACAAAAUUGAGAAAUAAUGCAUAUGGGACAUAGUGAUAUUUACAUGUUUUCAGGGCUUACGCCCUGGGUGGCUAUUUACAAGACAGCAGUUUCCACCCUUCCCCUCCACUUCAGGUUUGAUACAAGGCCAAGUCCUCAAUCUGACUUUAUAUGACUGUGGUCUAGUUCAGAUUAGUAUUUGUCACCACUCUUCAUAGCAGACAGGAAUUCAGCAGACUGGGGAAGAAGGAAAAGGAGGACAGGGAAGAAAUUAAGGGACUAAGUCUGUUGAAGGUAAACAUACCUGUGAUCUGCUGCCUGGGAUAAUCACAACAGUAAAACAUGAAGUUUGCAUGCCAGGCAGAUGCUCACAGUUUAACACUUUUUAGAUAACCACUGAAGGAAAGAGCAUCUUAGAAUUCUCAACAUAUUUGCUGCCACCAAAAAAAAAAAAAAAAAAAAAAAAGUCAUGCAAUAAAGCAUUAUUUUUAUGCACCCUCUCUGAAAAUGUUUUGCAGAAUUCUAAGCUUCUUACUUAGAAGCUAACAGAACAUCUCGCUGGAAGAUGAUAGAUCAUAAACAUUCUUCAAAUAAAGUAAGACACAGUUUAACAGAAAACUGUCAAUCAGAACAAAUGAAUCAGUAUAACAAACAUAUAUAUAUUUUUUGAGAUGGAUUCUCGCUCUGUUGCCAGGCUGGAAUGCAGAGGUGCAAUCUCGG